UAAAGCCGCAUCAAAGCUUUAGGAAGGGGCUGGCAGGGCGCCCUGCGUCCGGCAGAGGAGGCGAGCAUCCCGCUCAGGUGAUGAGGAACUCCUCGCGUAACCAGUGCAGAAGGCUGCUGCCGCCGGACGCCUCCAUUGUUUGACCACAACAAGGGCCGGAUUCUCACCCAGCAGGAUCCUAAGGCCUUUGUAGUCCUUCAGCCACUGUGGGCCCUGCCUCUGCCUGUUCUUCUGGAAUGUCUUGGGGGUUUUGAUCCUGUCACUGUGACCUGCAAAUCCAAGAGACACAUUUCUGGAAGAUAAGAGAGCUUCUUCAAGACCAAAAAAGGAGACGGCAUGAUACCCACGUAGGGAAUUCCCCAAAGCAAGGCUUGCCAAACCUGGACCCGAGGAGCCUGCUUGCUGGAAAGGCUUUCCUGUCUGAUGUGCAGGAGGCAGAAUGCCAAACUGACUCUUCAAGGGGCAACUGCAGGGGCUCGAGACCAGCCAGCAGUAUCUCAUCCUUCAAUACAGGGGAUAUACUAUACAGUCCUUUUUCUAGAAGUGAGAAGUACGAGAUUACUCUACAAGAGGAAGAUUCCAGGGGCUCA
rnacentral:sRNA from 1 species